UUAAUUUUUUCUGUAUUCCUGUUUUACCCUUGAACAUUUUUCCUCCUCACGCACUCUCUUCAAGCAUAGAACCCCUUCUCAGUCGUCUUUCUCACUCUCAAGUUCCAGUCUCCAAGCCAUCCGACCAAUCCAUUCGCCACUCAUCUGUCGUUCCUCCUCACGCACUCCCUAUCGCUGCUUAUCCAUCGAUUGCCAGCUAUAUUGCUUGUCGGUGGCCGAUUUUUGUUGUUGAUGGACGAGGAUGUUACUACAGGGCCAUACAACAACUCGGUUUUGUACUUACGGCGCAACCAUAGAUCCGAGGCUGUUUAGGAAGACGAGUAUAUUGAUGCAAUGCAUUGUCGGCGAAGAAAGGCUGUUAUUCGCAGGCAGGAGAACCCAGACCCUCAUAUAUUGAACUAUCUACAAGCUGUCGGAUUCUACGGAGUCUCUUAUAUAAAAUUUAUACAACUAGACUGGCAUCUGAGAACGACAAUAAUGGAACGAUGGCACCAUGAGACACACACUUUCCACAUGUUGCAUGGAGAGUGUACAAUUACAUUUCAAGAUGUAGCCAUCCAAUUUGGACUCCCGAUUAAUGGAAGACCAUUGAUCGGGUCUCUAAAUUAUGACUGGGAACAAAUUUGUACCCUUCUCUUAGGCGUAACCACAAAUGACAUCAUUCUUAAGGGAGGUCGUCUAAGCCUGCCAUGGUUACCUGAUUAAUUUAACAACUUCGCCCAUCUACCAGACCAUGCAGAUGAAGAGGACCUGCAACGAUAUGCUCGAGCAUAUAUUCUCACGUUGAUUGGAGGAUUGGUAUUUCCCGACAAAUCCAAUAGCAGAGUGUACCUAAUGUAUCUUCCUCUCUUGGUGGAUUUUGAUGUUGCCGGGUCUUACAGUUGGGGCGCUGGAUGUCUUGCAUGGUUGUAUAGGCAACUAUGCAAGGGUGUAGUUAUAGAUAGAAAAGACGUUGCAGGCCCACUUUUAUUGCUACAAAUUUAGGCAUGGGAUCGAUUUCCUCUUCUAGCGCCUCGAUGACUCCAUAGAUACGAGCAUAACUUAGGCGAUAGACCACUUGCAGUAAGAUGGAAUGACAACUAUUCUGUAAUUAGAGUACUUGUGCAUGUUCUAGUACAGUAUAGGCACAUACUCGAUACACAUAUGCCUAACUAGGUAAUAUUUUAUUCGUUCUUAUAUCAUAUAUUCAUAAUGUUUAAAUCUUUUGGUUAAUUCAUUUUUGACACAUAUGCAUGCGGAUUAUUUGGGAGCCAUAUAAUCAUCUUAUCCAACUAUUGCCGUCAUACUGUCUCGAUGGAAAUGAGAUAUGGACAUCUAGAUGUCCACUCAUAUGCUUCUUCGUUGUGGAUUGGCAUCACCCAGAUCGUGUGAUGCGUCAAUUUGGGAUGUUACAACACGGAUGCCCGACUUCAUUCACAUGAUCUAAGAGGCAAGCAUGAGCGAGAUUGAAUUGCAUAUCUAGCUCCUCAAAUUAUAAUCUGGGAAAGUAGACACAGUUUGGUUGUUAAUGGACCUCCUAUUAACAACGAUGUAGGUACCGAGCCUGGAUAUAUUGAAUGGUAUUUUACUGUGAGCAGCCGGUACAUAACUAAAGCAGAAGCAUCCUAUCACUUGUUGCCGAGCUUCCAAAUUUGCCAAUAUCUGUUCAAAGAGCCUUGCGUAGACUCAACUCGAUAUAUCGAGUGUGAUAUUUCGAUGGAGACGUUCCAAUGGAAGAACAAGGUGAUCCAGCAAGACAUGAGGAUGUUUCUAUUCAAUCUAAUGGAAUGAAUAUCCAACAAUGUCAGUCGAUCAGUACACUUCCAUGAUGUCCUCUCCCUCAACAUUUGGUUUUUUUCCAACAACCUUCAGUACACUAAGCAUGGAAGAAGAACAAACUUCACAUGUCCAUCCAGAUAUCCAUGAUCAGUAUAUUACAUAUCGACAACGUAGUGAGGGUAUACACUUUCCAGAGAAAAGUCAACCACUAAGUGUAAGAGGGCGUGGCGAUCGUGGACACUAUGUCACUCAACAUGAUCGAUUUAGGCGUAAUAGAGGAUCUUCUUCUAGUCGUGAAUAAAGAAUAUUGUACAUAUGAUUAAAUUUAUUAAAUGAAAUUCAAUUACGAAAAUGCACUUGAA